rnacentral:lncRNA from 1 species
CUUCCAUAAAAAAAAAAAAAGAUACGGGUUUAGAGUUUUGUAAUUUAAUUUGUUUGUAACUGAAUAAGGUUUACCUGUUUUCAUUGCAGAAUGUUAGCAGUGUUAGCGCUUUAGAAGCACUAUGUAAUAUGGCUCUGGUAAAGGUCUAAAUAGCGCUUUAAAAUAAGUAAAAAGCGCUAUCUAAAGGUGCCUUUCUAUAGUGUUUUUGCCUUUAAAUGCUAUAUCUUAGAAUGGCUUUAGAUAGCGCUUUCACUUCUAUGCGCUAUCUAAGGAUGAUGUUAGAUAGCGCCUUUUAGUUUAUAAGCACUUUUUCAAAGAUAAGUACUACUGCAAUUUUAUUUUUCUAUAUUAAAAUCUAAAUAUAUUGAUUAUACAUAAAAGUCAAUAUUUUAUACUGUAGCAAACAAAAUACAUAUAUAUUUUU